UACGAAGGGGGCUAGCGUUGCUCGGAAUGACUGGGCGUAAAGGGCGCGUAGGCGGUUUGUACAGUCAGGUGUGAAAUUCCCGGGCUCAACCUGGGGGCUGCACUUGAUAUGUAGGAACUGGAGUGGGGAAGAGGGUCGUGGAAUUCCCGGUGUAGUGGUGAAAUGCGUAGAUAUCGGGAGGAACACCAGUGGCGAAGGCGGUUAGCUGGCCUGUAACUGACACUGAGGCGCGAAGGCUAGGGGAGCGAACAGG
rnacentral:rRNA from 1 species